GCAAGUCGAACGAACUCUGGUAUUGAUUGGUGCUUGCAUCAUGAUUUACAUUUGAGUGAGUGGCGAACUGGUGAGUAACACGUGGGAAACCUGCCCAGAAGCGGGGGAUAACACCUGGAAACAGAUGCUAAUACCGCAUAACAACUUGGACCGCAUGGUCCGAGUUUGAAAGAUGGCUUCGGCUAUCACUUUUGGAUGGUCCCGCGGCGUAUUAGCUAGAUGGUGAGGUAACGGCUCACCAUGGCAAUGAUACGUAGCCGACCUGAGAGGGUAAUCGGCCACAUUGGGACUGAGACACGGCCCAAACUCCUACGGGAGGCAGCAGUAGGGAAUCUUCCACAAUGGACGAAAGUCUGAUGGAGCAACGCCGCGUGAGUGAAGAAGGGUUUCGGCUCGUAAAACUCUGUUGUUAAAGAAGAACAUAUCUGAGAGUAACUGUUCAGGUAUUGACGGUAUUUAACCAGAAAGCCACGGCUAACUACGUGCCAGCAGCCGCGGUAAUACGUAGGUGGCAAGCGUUGUCCGGAUUUAUUGGGCGUAAAGCGAGCGCAGGCGGUUUUUUAAGUCUGAUGUGAAAGCCUUCGGCUCAACCGAAGAAGUGCAUCGGAAACUGGGAAACUUGAGUGCAGAAGAGGACAGUGGAACUCCAUGUGUAGCGGUGAAAUGCGUAGAUAUAUGGAAGAACACCAGUGGCGAA
rnacentral:rRNA from 2 species